UACACAUGCAAGUCGAGCGGGGAUUGGGUGCUUGCACCUAAUCUUAGCGGCGGACGGGUGAGUAAUGCUUAGGAAUCUGCCAUUUAGUGGGGGACAACAUUCCGAAAGGGAUGCUAAUACCGCAUACGCCCUACGGGGGAAAGCAGGGGAUCUUCGGACCUUGCGCUAAAUGAUGAGCCUAAGUCGGAUUAGCUAGUUGGUGGGGUAAAGGCCUGCCAAGGCGACGAUCUGUAGCGGGUCUGAGAGGAUGAUCCGCCACACUGGGACUGAGACACGGCCCAGACUCCUACGGGAGGCAGCAGUGGGGAAUAUUGGACAAUGGGGGGAACCCUGAUCCAGCCAUGCCGCGUGUGUGAAGAAGGCCUUUUGGUUGUAAAGCACUUUAAGUGAGGAGGAGGCU
rnacentral:rRNA from 1 species